AACGAACGCUGGCGGCAGGCUUAACACAUGCAAGUCGAGCGCCCCGCAAGGGGAGCGGCAGACGGGUGAGUAACGCGUGGGAACAUACCCUUUGGUUCGGAAUAACUCAGGGAAACUUGAGCUAAUACCGGAUACGUCCGUAAGGAGAAAGAUUUAUCGCCAAAGGAUUGGCCCGCGUCCGAUUAGCUAGUUGGUGAGGUAACGGCUCACCAAGGCUACGAUCGGUAGCUGGUCUGAGAGGAUGAUCAGCCACAUUGGGACUGAGACACGGCCCAAACUCCUACGGGAGGCAGCAGUGGGGAAUAUUGGACAAUGGGCGGCAAGCCUGAUCCAGCCAUGCCGCGUGAGUGAUGAAGGCCUUAGGGUUGUAAAGCUCUUUACCCGGGAUGAUAAUGACAGUACCGGGAGAAUAAGCUCCGGCUAACUCCGUGCCAGCAGCCGCGGUAAUGUGACUACUG
rnacentral:rRNA from 1 species